GUCUGGAAGGACAGGGGCACGGUCACCAUGUAGGGCACGUUGAGCUUCUUGAGGGAGUCGAUAGCCUUGGGGUGGUCCUGGCGAGCGGGACCGCCGACGAGCGCGAAGCCGGUGAGGGACAGGACGGUGUCGACAAAGGCACCCUUGGUGAUGGGGUCGAAGAAGAAGCGCUCGACCGGGACGGAGAAGUCGAGGCCGCCCGCGAACACGGGCACCACCUUGGCGCCGCGGGACUCGAGCUCCAUCACCAUGCCCGCGUAGUGGCCCUCGUCGCCGGUGACGAGGUGCGAGCGCUGGAGGACGAGGCCGACGACGGGGGCAUCCUUGGCGAAGGUCAUGUCCUUGCGGGUGUCGUACCAGUUGAGGUACUCCUUGAGGUCCUCGUACAUGGUGGGCGCGGUGGGGUGCCAGAUGCCGAUGUCGGGGAACGUCUCGGGCUCGGCAAUCUCCAUCUCCAUGUCCUUGAGCGCGGGAACGUAC
rnacentral:lncRNA from 1 species